AAAUUUCUUCGGGGCAGGGUGCAAUUCCCUACCGGCGGUAUAGUCCGCGACCCGCUUCGGCGGCUGAUCUGGUGAAAUUCCGGAACCGACAGUAAAGUCUGGAUGAGAGAAGAACGCG
rfam:Ruminococcus sp. CAG:17 genomic scaffold, scf169